ACAUGGCAUUUUAGUCAAAAGACUAUGACUAAAACUAAAUUGAAAUUUGCUGCCAAAAUUAACCAUGCACAGAGGGGCUGUGGAAAGGGUAAAAGGGACAGGUAGAGGCUUUAACUAAACCCAUUAGAUUUUAGUUGUGUUGACUGAAGAUUUAGUCGACUAAAACUAAAACAAUUCAGAUGACUAAAAUACGACUAAAACUAAAAUGGCUUUUUAGUCAAAAGACUAUGACUAAAACUAAAUUAAAGUUAACACUGGAUCUUUCUAAGGUCCACAUCCUUUAUGUCUUCAUAUUCCUGACCUAUACUUGUAAGUUGGGUAGUGUACUCUUGACAAUUUGGGUGAAUUCAGAGUUUGAGAUAUGAACUCCUAUAUUUGUUACAUAAUUUUGAAAUGUUUUCCUUAUAUUUUGGCAGACACAACAGAUUGUAAUUUUUAAAUUUGUGGCU